UGCCCGGUGGUGUAGUGGUAGCACAAAGGACUUUGGCUCCUUUGACCGAGGUUCGAAUCCUCGCCGGGCAGCCA
rnacentral:tRNA from 2 species